UCCGCUCUUGUCAGCUUUCCAGAGAUUAGAAUUUCCAAGAAGAAUCCAGCAACUCGCCUUUGUUAUCAAAACUACUCGAUAAAACACACGAAAGUGUUCAAGUUUCUUCCAUUUUCGUAGCUUAUUUGAAUACAGCAAAUUCAGUUUGUUCUGUUUUUGUUGCAGGUAGUAAAAUCAUGAGUGCGUUAGUAUGAUUGUAACAUCCAUGUCUCAAUAUAUGGGCUAUUUGUUUUUUAAAUCAUAAAUAUCAGCCCAUUAAGGCCCAACUUCAUCCUUGGGUUAAAAACGACGAGGGGUUUGCAAAAGAAACACUGAGCAUAUCAAAACCCAAAAGCAGCCACCACGUGAGUGGGAGAGAGACAGUUGAGCCACCAUUGUUUAUUGUUGUCCCCUUCGUACUGUCACC